AGCUGAUCACUGGGUUUAAAGAGUGCGCAGGCGGUUUUGUAAGACAGAGGUGAAAUCCCCGGGCUCAACCUGGGAACUGCCUUUGUGACUGCAAGGCUGGAGUGCGGCAGAGGGGGAUGGAAUUCCGCGUGUAGCAGUGAAAUGCGUAGAUAUGCGGAGGAACACCGAUGGCGAAGGCAAUCCCCUGGGCCUGCACUGACGCUCAUGCACGAAAGCGUGGGGAGCAAACA
rnacentral:rRNA from 1 species